rnacentral:lncRNA from 1 species
CGAGUGAACAGAUAAAAGAAAGAGAGAACGAGAGAGAGAGGCCAAGCCCAAGCAGCUUCUCUUCCCGGUGAGUUGUUAAACAAGCAAAAGAAAAUAUUUAUUUUCCCUUCCCUUUUUAUUUAAGCAACUUUUUAUCUCUAGUUCUCAUGCAUAUCCUAUAUAUAUUAUCUGCAGGACUUUGAAAGAUGGGUGCAGGUGGUCGUAUGUCGGAUCCGCCUAGUGGCAAGAAGACUGCAGCUGAAGCCCUUCGACGGGCUCCUCACGAGAAGCCUCCAUUCACAUUAGCAGACUUAAAGAAAGCCAUUCCACCCCAUUGUUUUCAAAAAUCUCUUAUUACCUCUUUCCGAUACCUUAUUCAGGAUCUCAUCAUGGCCUACACCCUCUACUAUGUGGCCACUAAUUAUAUCGACCUCCUCCCUCGUCCUCUCAAUUACUUGGGUUGGGCUGCUUACAUUGCUGUUCAAGGUUGUGUCCUUACUGGGGCUUGGGUUAUAGGCCAUGAAUGUGAUCACCAUGCUUUUAGUGACUAUCAGUGGGUCGACGACCUUGUUGGCCUUGUUGUCCACUCCUCUCUUCUCGUCCCUUACUUUUCUUGGAAAAUUAGCCACCGUCGUCACCAUGCCAACACCCAAUCCCUUGAAAAUGACGAGGUGUAUGUCCCAAGAUUUAAGUCCAACAUCCGAAACUAUUACAAAAUCUUUGACAAUCCACCUGGUCGAGUACUUGUUUGGAUUACCACACUCCUUAUCGGUUUUCCUUUAUACUUGAUGUUCAAUGUAUCCGGCCACAAGUACGAAAGGUGGACUUCCCACUAUGAUCCCCAUAGCCCACUUUAUUCCGAUCGUGAACGCAAAGAGAUUAUUAUUUCUGAUGUUGCUAUUCUUGCUGUCAUCUAUGGACUCUAUCAUCUUGUGUUAGCCAAAGGACUUGCAUGGGUUUUCUGCGUCUAUGGAGGUCCAUUACUAGUUGUUAAUGGUUGGUUCGUGUUGAUCACCAUAUUGAAUCAUACUCACCCUUCUUUGCCUUACUAUGAUUCUACCGAGUGGGAUUGGUUGAGGGGAGCUCUUUGCACCGUAGAUAGAGAUUAUGGAAUUUUGAACAAGGUGUUCCACAAUGUGUGCAAUGCUCAUGUUUGUCACCAUAUUUUCUCCAUGAUGCCGCAUUAUCAUGGACUGGAAGCAACUGAGGUAAUGAAGCCAUUAUUGGGUGAAUAUUAUCAGUAUGAUGGAACUCCGAUUCUUAAGGCAAUGUACAGAGAAAUGAAGGAGUGCAUUUAUGUUGAGAAAGAUGAAGGUGAGACAAAAGGAGUCUACUGGUACAGAAACAAGUUUUGAUUCCAAGUUGGAAAGAAAAGACAAAUGAAAACCCUAGGGGGAAGCAGCAUCAGUACUUGUUACUGCAUAUUUGUCCUCUAUUUCCUAGGAGUUUAGUUGUUAGCAAUAAACAUCUAAUGUUAUUGAUCAUAAAAUAAUCAUGCAUGUUGUUUUAGAUGUUCAGGUCCUUUUCCCCUUGAAAUGUAAUGUCAAGUGUUUAUGUAAUAAAUAAUAAUAUAUAGUUCAUUUCCUGUCCAAACUUCUUUCAAUUUAGUGUUCUGUUUGAAAUAUUGCUCGCCUCAUUUCCAUGCAUCUAUGCAAGUUUCCUAUUCUUUGUUCAUGUAACUUUAGUAGCGAUGCUAUUUUUUUUUGCGUGUUAACAUAAAGUCCUAAUCUAAGUCUUGAGAAUCACCAUGUAAUCUGUCUUUGGCAGGCUAUUCCCUUAAUCGUCAAUUAAUUUUGAGUUGAAUCUUUAAUAUAAUUAUAUACAUACACAAUUUCAACGUGUAAAUGGAGAAAAACAAAAUAGUGUAAUUAAAAAGUUCAAUUAAGUUUCCGUUUCUGUAAUUAGUUGUAAAAUAAUGUGAUAAGGAAGACUGCUUUAAAAAUAGAAUUCCUUGCCCAUACACGAUUUAGGUUUUACUUUUUAAAAAUAGUAAAAUUUGAACAAAAGUAAAGAAACAAUAUAUUGAAGAUUACAUUAAAAACAAACAGUUGGUGUAGCUUAAUUAAUUUGAACUCUUAUUUAUUUACUUACAAAUCUUGUGUUCAAGCCUCAUAACUCACAAGUAGCAAUAUUUUAUUUUUUUAAAAAAAUAAGUCGCGGGCCACGAGCUGGGCCGGGCCAAAAACGGGUCGGGCCAGAAUGGCCCGCAUUUUCCUGGGCUGAAAUAUUGUUGCCCAUGGCCCAUGUUUCUACGGGCCAUAGGCCGACCCGCGGGCCUGGGCCUAAAUUGCCAGGUCUACCCGCACAAUAGAACAACUCCGAUACAACCCAUCUUUCUAAGUGUCAAGCCAGAAAGAUUUUUGAUCUCCCUCUUCUUAAUUAUGUUUCUCUACCCUUUAUAUUUUCUAUGUGAUUUGGUUUGAUAUGAAGAAUGAGAUUUUCAGGAAAAAGAUUCGACGAUUUAAAAAGAUUUGAUUUUAUUGGUCCGAAUUAGACAGAAUCGUCAAUUGGUAUGAGUUAAAUGGUUGUAUCAACUCAAUCAAGUUUGGAAAGGUUUUGCAAUAUGGCCCAAUUAUUGGACUCUGUUUAAUUGGUAAAAACCGAGAUUCAUAGAGUUCGGGGGCUUGAUUAAGCGGGGGAAAGGUAUUAGGCACCCCCGACUUUCAUUAAACACAGUUACUGUGCUAUUUUUGAUUCCCUAAUGUGUGUAUAUGUGUAUUGCAGUUACAUAAAGCCACACCUUUCGCAGGUAAACCUGCGGAUUCCACAUGUACACCAGCAGUGACAUAGGUCUCUCCAAGAGCUACGCAAUGACAUAGGUCUAACAUUUUUCCGAAUUUGAGAAGAUGGGUCCAUGAUCGAAAUGGCAUAUUUGGGUCUUCGCAGGUAGUCCGUUGAGUUGUUUUGCGUAGUUUGAGCUCGGAAAUGCUACAAUGGCUCUUUGUGACCCCAUUUGCAGUUCCUUUAUGUUUUUUGAAAUUAACUUGUCAAAAUGAUCAUUUUUCCUUUUCAGGGGUUGUCUCCAGGGUUGACGGGGCUUUUGGCUGUACUUCGGGGUUGUCUCUGAGGUUUGAUCACAACUGAUUCUGUUUUUCCUCAUGAUUGUCUCCGAGGAUUGAUUUGAUACUUCAGGGUUAUCUCCGAAGGUUGGUUUGAUAUCCUGGGGUUGUCUCCACAGAUUGAUUUGAUGAUUUCCCUGUGCUGUUGACGGGGUUCUGGUUUGAUGAUUUCUCGGUGCUGUUGCCAGGGGUCUGGCUUGAUGAUUUCCCGGUGUUGUUGCCAGGGUCUGGCUUGAUGACUUCCCGGUGUUGUUGCAGGGGUUCUGGUUUGAUGAUUUCUCGGUGCUGUUGUUGGGGUUCUAGUUUGAUGAUUCUGAAUUCUAGGGUUGUCCCUAGAAGAUAAAAGACGAUUUUGUCCAUCAGUAUGGUUAGUAAUAAAAAUGCGAAAUUUCGAGUGCCUACACAAAGUAGAUAUAUUCUCUAAAAUCUUAAAUUUUGUUAAUAAUUAUAAAUUAAAGAGUCAGCAUAUGCAUCUUAUGUGCCAAAAGAAUGUCUCAUACUUGUUUCCUUUUAUGUUUUCUUAUCCCAAAGGUUUUGGUAUUCUAUUUUUAUAGAUAAUUUACAUCUCGAAGAAAAUAUUUUUGUUUGCCUUAAACAUAUUCUUUUUAAGAUGUACAUAUUUUGACCAAUAUAUAGUAUAGAUACACAAAACUUGACAAUAUUGAAUAACAUAUAAUUGAAUACUCAAUAUAUAAUCAUAAUGAUCUAUUCCACUCAUAAUCAAUUUUUGAUACUUUGAAGAAAUUUUUAAAAAAAUUAAAAAAAAAUAAAGUGAGAGAGCUGUAGGUUGAGUCGGGUUUAAGGUUGUCUAAUCUAUCUUAAAAUUUUCGGGCUCAAGUUCGGACUUGGCUCAUUAAAGUUAUAAUAAAAUUGUUUAAAUUCACCCAAAUGAGAUCACGAGUUUCAGACUUUUUUCAGUCAAACUCGUAUUAAAAUAUAAAAUUAUUAAUAUUGACUCCUAGACCCCAAAAAACAUAAUUUAAAGUAAUUCAUUUAAAAUAUUCGACGUACAAUAAUUUUUUAACUAAUCGAAUUAAAGUUUAAAAUAACAUAAAUAAGCUAUUUUAUAAAUAUUCUAGUAUUUAUUAUAUUUAAUCUUAAUAUUUUUUUAUUUUAUUACCAAAAUGAUAUAAGUGACCACUUUAUAAAAAAAUAUAGUACUUAAUUUUAAGUUGAGAAUACUAUGUAUACAUAUAAAUUGAGAGAUCAGUAAAUAUGUAAUAAUUAAUAUAAAUAAUAUAUUUUUAACACUAUAAUUUGGUCAUCCUAUAGUGGGCCAAAUUAACGGCCUCGGCCCAAAUUUCACUUCAGGCUUUAUUUAGGGUUCUUUACAAUAAUAUACAACAAAUAGUAAAUAAUUACAAGAUUAGUGCAUCAAUAAAAUAAUUAUAAUAAUAGUGCAAUAAUAUAUAAUAAUAUCAAGAAUAGUGCAAUACACGUCAUAUUAUCCAACCCAACAAAAAUAGAAAACUCUUAAUUCAAGGAGAAAACUACUCCACUGUGUGCGACUGUGACGCCCCCAAAAUAGGUCCACACGACCCAUCUUGAGUUGCCAGAUAUCACACUACAGAAAUCAAAUACAAACUUUAUUUAUACAACUGUUGAACUGUCGUGCAGAGUAUGACAACACAUAAGCUGUGAGUUUUAAUACAAAUAUAUGUAACUCUCAUAGUGUCUCGACCACAACACCUUACAAUGGUACUUUACAUAAAAGUACAGUCAAUAACUGUUUUAGAAAUUAAAAUCUUUGGAAAAUGCUCAAGAAAACCUUCGUACAUGGGAGGCCAUGCAUCUAAGUUAUAAUAGAUAUCAUAUGACUAGAGAAUUAUCCUUGGUUGACCCAAUAGACCCCAAAGAAAAAUGAGAAGAUUACUAUCAUAUUCUUUCCAAUGGUGAGUCUUCUCUUGACAUAUAAUUAUCUCCAUUGUCUCCAAUUGAGAAUUAUAUUUCAACCAAACUCCAAGAUUAUAUAGGUGGUGCUCAUAGAUAUAAUAAGCAAGUGCAUGAGCACAACCCUGUCUUAUGAUAACACGAAGUCGUCUGUCAUUAGACAUCUUGUAUGAUAGUGGCAAAAACGCCCUUCCAAAGUUGGGUUCACCUUACCCUAUUCGGUUCAUCAAAAUCAACGGUUAAAAUGAAGUAUAAAAUACGACACACUUAUCUAAAAUUCUCAAUAAAAUUAUUUUCAUACUAUUUUAGGGGAAACCUCAAUAACUAUAUAUAGACCAUCAUUCUAUUCCUCUGUUACCCCCGCUUGACCAAGCUACACUUUUAUUACCUCUGAAGAAGACUGGAUACUGGAAUAGUGAAGUAGCAGACUUCUCUUCUUCUUUCUUUCUAUAGCUUUUCUCUCUAUAAUUGCUCUUAUGAGUCUUAGUGAAUUGGUGAGAAUGAAAGAAGAAUGAGCUUCUAUUUAUAGGAAAAUAUAGUUUCGAUAAUUGCACGUUUUGGGGCUCAAAAUAUUACAGUAUAAUACCUUCAUCUUUUUCUUUAUUUUUAAUUUAGUCUUGCAGGUAUUAUCAAACUUGCACCACCUCCCCUAAUAGUACAUGAAUGUGAAUCAAUAGUACAUUCAUGUGAAUAUAUCAAUAGUUCUAUACAUGUGGAAAAAAAUAGUUACGAUAUAGUACCUUCAUCGUCUAUACUAGGACUGAGCAUUCGGUUAUAACCGAACCGAAUAGCUUAUUCGGUUAUAACCGAAUACCGAACCGAACUUAUUUUUGUUAUCCGAAAGACUACCCGAAAUGACAAAUAACUGAAUAACCGAAUAACCGAAUAACCGAAUUAAUUAUUUGGUUAUUCGGUUAAUAACCGAAUGUAAUACACAGACACACUACACAGUACACAACAAUCAACAUGAAUUAUCCUAACAGUUUUAUAUGUUUACAGUCAACAUUCUCCAACACCAACUGAGACAACAUUCAACAACAAUCAACAACAUCAAGUCCAACUGAUAUACAUUCCCAACAGACAAGUGACUGCAGCAUGAAUACACCAACUGAUAUAGCACAGCAUGAUACAGACAACUGAUAUACACAGCAUGAUACACACCAAGUCCAACUGAUAUACACUAACUGACAACAUCACAACACAGCUUGAAUUUCCAACAGAGUACAGACAAGUGAGACAACAUUCAACAUACAAAAGCAACAGAAUGAUCCACCAAGUCAACAGCAACAGAGAGUCUGAGACAACACCAACUGAGACAACACCAAAAACAUGAAUGAGAGUAUGACUGAGACACCAAAAAUAGACUGACUAAGACACCAAAAAAAGACUGACUGAGACACCAAGUCAACAGCAACAGACUGAUCCAACACCAACAAACUGACUGAGACUGUAAGACCCCGAAUUUUAUGAAAUAAAAGUAUUCAAUUUUUCUUAUAAUUACUAUUCAGUAAAUGGUUAAAUUGAUAAAAAAGUUAAAGUUAAGGGUGAUAUAUGAAUUUUUUCAAAAAUACGCAAGUGGUUAUAAAAUAUUCAUUGUUGUCGGGGAAUAUUCGUUUGGUCGUGGAAUAUUCUUUCUGUCGGGAAAUAUUCGUACGACGGCGCAACCAUUUGUGGGCCACAUAACAGAAUAACUGUCGGAUGAAGAAAACGACAAAAGAGAGUUUUUAUAAAUAACGACGUAGUUGUUAAUACUGUUGGAAUACCCGGUGGUUAAAAUAAAGUAAUACGCGUUGUUGCACAGUAGCACACGGUAUUACACAGUAUUUUUGAAUUAUUGAUUCUUACGUAAGAAGGCACUACUCAAUAAUUGUUACAGUAAUUAUUGUUCAAUAUUUUAUUGAUUCAAUAAUUGCUGCGUUGAUAUUUUAUAUUGCUGUUGUUUCAAUAAUUGUCAUUACACAGUAUUUUUCAUUAUCGAAGCAAUAAUUCAUAUUAUCUGAAUAAUAUUAUUAGAUAACAUUAUUGGCAAUGUCUAGAAAGUUCUGUCUAAGGAGAGGUUUGGUCACCUAAUUGCGCGCCAGUAAGGAGAAAUUCUUAUUGGAAAGCCCCCUCUUUCCUGGGAACUGCCUGGUUGUCAUUAUUGUGAUUCUGUAAUAUUAUUUGUGAAUAAUUAAUUAUUGAUUUAUAUGAUGAGGAAAAUAUUCAUUUUAUGUGGAUAUAGAUGGAGAAAAUUUUUAAAGUGACAAUUGUUGAAAAUCGAUAUUUUAUCUUUUCUGAUAAAAUAUUAUUUUAUUAUAUUAUUAUAAUAUUAUAAUGAUAUUUUUACAAUGAAUGUGGGAUAUAUGAGUAUAUGAGGAGGAGGAGUAUUUUUGUUGCAAAAGUUGUUUAAAACAUGCUAAACAUGUCUGUGGGCCCAUUUCUUGACUGAAAUUUGAUUAUAGCCUGUAAAAUCGUCCGUAUGUGAAUUUCGGUCAAUUUUUGUUUGGGAUUUUGAAAAACUUUCUUCUGCAAAGUUGUAGAGAAUUGAAUUUCCUAUAAAAAUUUGCGAGAUUCGAAUUUUCUGAUAAAAGGGCUAUUUAUUAUGAAUUAUUGAAGUUCCAAAGUUCCGGAAUAAUUAAUUUUUGAAGUUUUAAUUAUUUUUUAAUAAGAAAAACGUUUUUUUACAUUUUUGGGACUCAUUUAACAUGUGUUAGGAUGGCUGAUUUCAGAUGCUAGGUGUGCGUAGGAAAUUUAUAUGAAUAUAUUAUUAAUUUAUUAAAUUUUCUACUUUGGUGUUCUAAGCAUUUUCCUAUAAAUAGGGUGCUUAGGUUAGAAUUGAAAAUCACACCAGAAAUUGAAGUUUUUUCUAUAUUUCUCUCUAUAAUAUCGAGCGUAUUUUGUUAGUAUUUUAGUACUUUGAGUAUUGCUAUACGGUGCAAGUUCUUUCAGCACUAUAUCCAGUAUUCCAAUCAGAAGUACUAUUCUUUCUGAGGUACGGGAUAGUAUGGGAUUUUAAGGGAUUGUAAGGGGGAUUAUUUUCUUCAUAAAUGAUAUUAUUUCUUCAAUAUCAUUAUGCCGAAAUAUUAGUUGGAAAUUUUUAUCAAAUUUGGAACUUUUUCAUGUCGGGGUUACUAUUCAUGAGUUACUAUUCAUGAGUUACUAUUCACGAGUUACUAUUCACGAGUACUAUUCACGAAGCGUGAUGAUGUUUUUUUGAAAUUUCUAUCUUUUGGUGUCGGAGUUACUAUUCACGUAUACGGCACUAUUCACGUAUACGGCACUAUUCACGAAUACGGCACUAUUCACCGAAAAAUGAAAUUUCUUCUUUUUGUCCAAAAUAUCUAUUAUGGAUACUAGCUUUGAUUGUAUCCAUGUUUUGAUCAUUCUUGAAUUUUACACCACUAUGAUUAUUUUUGAGGUAUUUUUGGACGUGGAUAAAACAAAGUACGAAUCCUUAAUCCUUAAUCCUUGUCAUUUUNNNNNNNNNNNNNNNNNNNNNNNNNNNNNNNNNNNNNNNNNNNNNNNNNNNNNNNNNNNNNNNNNNNNNNNNNNNNNNNNNNNNNNNNNNNNNNNNNNNNUGCUACAAUGGCUCUUUGUGACCCCAUUUGCAGUUCCUUUAUGUUUUUUGAAAUUAACUUGUCAAAAUGAUCAUUUUUCCUUUUCAGGGGUUGUCUCCAGGGUUGACGGGGCUUUUGGCUGUACUUCGGGGUUGUCUCUGAGGUUUGAUCACAACUGAUUCUGUUUUUCCUCAUGAUUGUCUCCGAGGAUUGAUUUGAUACUUCAGGGUUAUCUCCGAAGGUUGGUUUGAUAUCCUGGGGUUGUCUCCACAGAUUGAUUUGAUGAUUUCCCUGUGCUGUUGACGGGGUUCUGGUUUGAUGAUUUCUCGGUGCUGUUGCCAGGGGUCUGGCUUGAUGAUUUCCCGGUGUUGUUGCCAGGGUCUGGCUUGAUGACUUCCCGGUGUUGUUGCAGGGGUUCUGGUUUGAUGAUUUCUCGGUGCUGUUGUUGGGGUUCUAGUUUGAUGAUUCUGAAUUCUAGGGUUGUCCCUAGAAGAUAAAAGACGAUUUUGUCCAUCAGUAUGGUUAGUAAUAAAAAUGCAAAAUUUCGAGUGCCUACACAAAGUAGAUAUAUUCUCUAAAAUCUUAAAUUUUGUUAAUAAUUAUAAAUUAAAGAGUCAGCAUAUGCAUCUUAUGUGCCAAAAGAAUGUCUCAUACUUGUUUCCUUUUAUGUUUUCUUAUCCCAAAGGUUUUGGUAUUCUAUUUUUAUAGAUAAUUUACAUCUCGAAGAAAAUAUUUUUGUUUGCCUUAAACAUAUUCUUUUUAAGAUGUACAUAUUUUGACCAAUAUAUAGUAUAGAUACACAAAACUUGACAAUAUUGAAUAACAUAUAAUUGAAUACUCAAUAUAUAAUCAUAAUGAUCUAUUCCACUCAUAAUCAAUUUUUGAUACUUUGAAGAAAUUUUUAAAAAAAUUAAAAAAAAAUAAAGUGAGAGAGCUGUAGGUUGAGUCGGGUUUAAGGUUGUCUAAUCUAUCUUAAAAUUUUCGGGCUCAAGUUCGGACUUGGCACAUUAAAGUUAUAAUAAAAUUGUUUAAAUUCACCCAAAUGAGAUCACGAGUUUCAGACUUUUUUCAGUCAAACUCGUAUUAAAAUAUAAAAUUAUUAAUAUUGACUCCUAGACCCCAAAAAACAUAAUUUAAAGUAAUUCAUUUAAAAUAUUCGACGUACAAUAAUUUUUUAACUAAUCGAAUUAAAGUUUAAAAUAACAUAAAUAAGCUAUUUUAUAAAUAUUCUAGUAUUUAUUAUAUUUAAUCUUAAUAUUUUUUUAUUUUAUUACCAAAAUGAUAUAAGUGACCACUUUAUAAAAAAAUAUAGUACUUAAUUUUAAGUUGAGAAUACUAUGUAUACAUAUAAAUUGAGAGAUCAGUAAAUAUGUAAUAAUUAAUAUAAAUAAUAUAUUUUUAACACUAUAAUUUGGUCAUCCUAUAGUGGGCCAAAUUAACGACCUCGACCCAAAUUUCACUUCAGGCUUUAUUUAGGGUUCUUUACAAUAAUAUACAACAAAUAGUAAAUAAUUACAAGAUUAGUGCAUCAAUAAAAUAAUUAUAAUAAUAGUGCAAUAAUAUAUAAUAAUAUCAAGAAUAGUGCAAUACACGUCAUAUUAUCCAACCCAACAAAAAUAGAAAACUCUUAAUUCAAGGAGAAAACUACUCCACUGUGUGCGACUGUGACGCCCCCAAAAUAGGUCCACACGACCCAUCUUGAGUUGCCAGAUAUCACACUACAGAAAUCAAAUACAAACUUUAUUUAUACAACUGUUGAACUGUCGUGCAGAGUAUGACAACACAUAAGCUGUGAGUUUUAAUACAAAUAUAUGUAACUCUCAUAGUGUCUCGACCACAACACCUUACAAUGGUACUUUACAUAAAAGUACAGUCAAUAACUGUUUUAGAAAUUAAAAUCUUUGGAAAAUGCUCAAGGAAACCUUCGUACAUGGGAGGCCAUGCAUCUAAGUUAUAAUAGAUAUCAUAUGACUAGAGAAUUAUCCUUGGUUGACCCAAUAGACCCCAAAGAAAAAUGAGAAGAUUACUAUCAUAUUCUUUCCAAUGGUGAGUCUUCUCUUGACAUAUAAUUAUCUCCAUUGUCUCCAAUUGAGAAUUAUAUUUCAACCAAACUCCAAGAUUAUAUAGGUGGUGCUCAUAGAUAUAAUAAGCAAGUGCAUGAGCACAACCCUGUCUUAUGAUAACACGAAGUCGUCUGUCAUUAGACAUCUUGUAUGAUAGUGGCAAAAACGCCCUUCCAAAGUUGGGUUCACCUUACCCUAUUCGGUUCAUCAAAAUCAACGGUUAAAAUGACGUAUAAAAUACGACACACUUAUCUAAAAUUCUCAAUAAAAUUAUUUUCAUACUAUUUUAGGGGAAACCUCAAUAACUAUAUAUAGACCAUCAUUCUAUUCCUCUGUUACCCCCGCUUGACCAAGCUACACUUUUAUUACCUCUGAAGAAGACUGGAUACUGGAAUAGUGAAGUAGCAGACUUCUCUUCUUCUUUCUUUCUAUAGCUUUUCUCUCUAUAAUUGCUCUUAUGAGUCUUAGUGAAUUGGUGAGAAUGAAAGAAGAAUGAGCUUCUAUUUAUAGGAAAAUAUAGUUUCGAUAAUUGCACGUUUUGGGGCUCAAAAUAUUACAGUAUAAUACCUUCAUCUUUUUCUUUAUUUUUAAUUUAGUCUUGCAGGUAUUAUCAAACUUGCACCACCUCCCCUAAUAGUACAUGAAUGUGAAUCAAUAGUACAUUCAUGUGAAUAUAUCAAUAGUUCUAUACAUGUGGAAAAAAAUAGUUACGAUAUAGUACCUUCAUCGUCUAUACUAGGACUGAGCAUUCGGUUAUAACCGAACCGAAUAGCUUAUUCGGUUAUAACCGAAUACCGAACCGAACUUAUUUUUGUUAUCCGAAAGACUACCCGAAAUGACAAAUAACUGAAUAACCGAAUAACCGAAUAACCGAAUUAAUUAUUUGGUUAUUCGGUUAAUAACCGAAUGUAAUACACAGACACACUACACAGUACACAGCAAUCAACAUGAAUUAUCCUAACAGUUUUAUAUGUUUACAGUCAACAUUCUCCAACACCAACUGAGACAACAUUCAACAACAAUCAACAACAUCAAGUCCAACUGAUAUACAUUCCCAACAGACAAGUGACUGCAGCAUGAAUACACCAACUGAUAUAGCACAGCAUGAUACAGACAACUGAUAUACACAGCAUGAUACACACCAAGUCCAACUGAUAUACACUAACUGACAACAUCACAACACAGCUUGAAUUUCCAACAGAGUACAGACAAGUGAGACAACAUUCAACAUACAAAAGCAACAGAAUGAUCCACCAAGUCAACAGCAACAGAGAGUCUGAGACAACACCAACUGAGACAACACCAAAAACAUGAAUGAGAGUAUGACUGAGACACCAAAAAUAGACUGACUAAGACACCAAAAAAAGACUGACUGAGACACCAAGUCAACAGCAACAGACUGAUCCAACACCAACAAACUGACUGAGACUGUAAGACCCCGAAUUUUAUGAAAUAAAAGUAUUCAAUUUUUCUUAUAAUUACUAUUCAGUAAAUGGUUAAAUUGAUAAAAAAGUUAAAGUUAAGGGUGAUAUAUGAAUUUUUUCAAAAAUACGCAAGUGGUUAUAAAAUAUUCAUUGUUGUCGGGGAAUAUUCGUUUGGUCGUGGAAUAUUCUUUCUGUCGGGAAAUAUUCGUACGACGGCGCAACCAUUUGUGGGCCACAUAACAGAAUAACUGUCGGAUGAAGAAAACGACAAAAGAGAGUUUUUAUAAAUAACGACGUAGUUGUUAAUACUGUUGGAAUACCCGGUGGUUAAAAUAAAGUAAUACGCGUUGUUGCACAGUAGCACACGGUAUUACACAGUAUUUUUGAAUUAUUGAUUCUUACGUAAGAAGGCACUACUCAAUAAUUGUUACAGUAAUUAUUGUUCAAUAUUUUAUUNNNNNNNNNNNNNNNNNNNNNNNNNNNNNNNNNNNNNNNNNNNNNNNNNNNNNNNNNNNNNNNNNNNNNNNNNNNNNNNNNNNNNNNNNNNNNNNNNNNNNNNNNNNNNNNNNNNNNNNNNNNNNNNNNNNNNNNNNNNNNNNNNNNNNNNNNNNNNNNNNNNNNNNNNNNNNNNNNNNNCCCAUGUACGAAGGUUUCCUUGAGCACUUCCCAAAGAUUCUAAUUUCUAAAACAGUUUUCGACUAUACCUUUAUGUAAGGUGUCAUUAUGAGGUGCUGUCCACGGUUGGGACAUGAGUCACAGUUGAUAUAUAUUUAUAUCCAAACUCAUAGCAUAUGUGUUGUUGUAUUUUGCACGACAAUUGUUGUAAUAAAGUUGUAGUUAUUUUCUGUACCAUGUAUUUGGUGACUCAGAAUGGGUUGGAUGGAAUGGACCUAUUUUGGGGUCGUUACAGAGACAUAUUACAAAAACAUGAAUGAUCUGAGCCAUAUUACAAAAACACCAAACUGCAACAAGUCAACAACAAUCUGUAGAUCUGCAAUGAAUAAAAAGAAAGAAACUAAUGAUAACUGAGCCAACUUCCAAACUGCAAAUCUGCAAUGAAUAAAAAGAAAGAAACUACAUCAGUUGCAAAUACAUUAUUUUUUAAUGCUCAUUAAAUGUAUACAAUGAAUCAAUGUAUACAAUUAUUUUCUCUGUUGUGUAAUCGAAAUACAAUACUAGGUAACAUACAAAAGCAAUUAAACACAAAUUCAAUGAACCUUAUAUGCAAAUUAAUGAAUCAAGAGAUGAAUUUACCUCAUUAAUUAAGUUGAGUCAUAGAAACAUUGGCAUCAUUAGUAGCAAGGCUCAACGUGGAAAUUGCUGAAAAAUGAAAAAUAUAAUUAAACACAUUAUUUUUAUAAAUUAUUUUAUUAGUUCAAUAAAAUAAACAUAAACAAUAAUUAUUACCACACUCAAGUUUAUCGGCAAAGUCGUUAUCUUCCUCCACAUCAAUGCAAUUCUUCUUUUUAAUCCAAUCUUGAGCACAUAUGAGAGCUUCCACCAUAUUAUGAGACAAUGAACUCCUAAUGAAUCAAGAAUGCGCCCCCCGUGCUAAAUGAGGAUUCCGAACCAACAGUAGAAAUGGGAAUAGCCAACACAUCACGGGCAAUACGUGAUAGGAUAGGGAAUCUUGCACUAUUUGCUUUCCACCACACCAAAAUAUCUAAAGACUCAUCGGCUUCUUCCACAUCUUCAUUUAAAUAUUUGUCCAACUCUGAUUUUUCUCCAAGUAUCACUCCAGUCCGACGCUUUUUGAACUUAUCCAUAAGUCUAUUUGUAUUUUGGAAUUCCAUUGAAUUAGAAUCUUGGGAUGACAUGUUAAUUAAACUUGAUGUGCCACUUGGCCCACUUUCUUGAGUUGAAUACUUUUUUUGUACUCAUUAAACAUAUCUUCCAUUGCAUUCUUCACACCAUCGGCAAUCUCUAUCCCCGUGGCCCUAUUCCUUGCUUGAUAUUCUAAAUCCCUAUCUUCAUUAUCAAUAUCAAAAUGAAGAUCUACUCCCAUACCCACCAACGGAUCUUAAACUUCAAUUUCAUCAUCUCCAUACAUUUUGUCUAAAACAAAUUGAACAAAACUCAACUUAGACCGAGGAUCAAGCACAGCGGGAAUAUACAACAACAUAUUCAUCUUUGUAACAUUUCCCCAAUACUUAUCAUAUUUUCUUUUCAUUGCCUUGGCCAUUUGUUUCAAUUCUCUAUCAUUGCUUCUUUCCCACUCACUCAAAAUAACAUAAGUUUCACUUAUUUCAUGAAAUGCAGUAUUUGAUGUGACAUAAGACGAGCCGGAAAUACGCACAGUGAGAUUAUAAAAAUGUUCUAAGAAUCUCACAAACAAUUUAGCCAUAUUCCAAUCCGAGUCCGUUGGAAUAUCUUGGCCCCCUAUCUCUUUUACAAAGCCAUGAUCUUCAAAUCCAUAUCGAUCAAAAGCUUCUUUAUACUUUAAGGCUGAACUUAACAUCAAGUAAGUAGAGUUCCAUCUAGUUGGGCAAUCUAGACUUAAGCCUUUCUUGUCUUGAAGACCACAAUACUCAAUACUGUUCUUAAAUGACUUGACCCUAGCCGGGGAUUGUUUUGCAUACUUCACUGCACGCCUAACAUUCUCAACAGAUUUCUCAAUCAACUUCAACCCAUCAUUCACAACAAGAUUAAUAAUGUGAGCUAUACAUCUCAUGUGAAUGAACUUACCACCCAAGACAUUAGUUUUCCAAAAUGAACAUCUCUCUCUCAAGUAAGCAGCUGCUGUAUCAUUUGAGCUAGCAUUAUCUACAGUGAGUGUCAUAAAUUUAGAAAGUCCCCACUUUUCUAGACAAGACUCAACCAUUUCCCCAAUGUCCUUCCCCUUAUGACUUGUGAUGGUUCGAAAAUUUAAGAUUUUCUUAUGUAAUUUCCAAUUUUCAUCAAUAAAAUGUGCAGUAACACAUAUAAUUCAAGCGUUGAUUGGAAGUCCAAGAAUCAGUAGUGAGGCAAACACAUUCACAAUUUUUUCUAAGGAAUGUUUUCAGCUUAAUUUUCUCAUUAUCAUACAAACGAAUGCAGUCUCUAGCAAAUGUAAAACGUGAAGGCAACUGAAACCUAGGACAUGCAGCUUGCAUAAGUCGUUUAAAACCAUCUUUCUCAACAUGUUUGAAAGGAAGCUCAUCUACAAUAAGAUGGUAAGUAACGGCUGCCCUAACAACUUCUUGGUCAAACCUCCAAGUGGUGAGUGUACUCUCACAUGCCCCUCCCUCCCCCUCACCCUCUUUAAUUCCUACAAGUUGGGGUUGAGCUUUAUCCAUGUUGAUGGGAUUUUUUUUACAAGUUCUAAAGUGAUUUCUUAAAGCAGUAGUACCAUUUGAAGAUGAAUCAGCAGCUAAUUCUUUUCCACAAUAAGUACACUUACCUUUGAUGACAUUACCAUCAUUAUCUUUAACUGGAAUGAAGUGCCCCUCAGUCCACACCUUGGAUCUAGGCGCCAUCCUUUUUCUUUGCAGCUUUACAUUUUCUGAUUGUCCCGUACUCUUUGUACUUGUCUCUAUAUUGGGGGUGGGGGUGGGAACACUGUCACCCCCUUCUUUCUCAUGUCCAAUACCAAUUGCAUCAAGGUCAUCAAGGUCAGGCUUGUUUGUAUCAUCCACCAUAUGCAAAUCGUUUAAAAUACUUCUUGACAUCAUCUGAAAAUUUCAAACAAAUUACAUUAACAACGAAAGUUUAAAAAGUUUAUAUAAAUCAAAAACUUCAAGUAAUUAAUAUUCAAGCAUAAAUCAAAAUACAACAUUUCAGUUACAUUUUAACAUUUUAGUUGACAUACAUCAAUAUGUUGUAUUUAGUUUCCACAUUUCAGUUGACAUACAUGUACUCUUCCACCUUUGCAAUCAUUUUACUUCAAGUUUGAUCAUACAUGCUAAACACCAGCAGAUAACUAACCAACAACCAUACAAUCUAAAUAAUCAGCUAUCAUGAAAUAAACUAUUGUUCUUGAAGUGAAUGUAAAUGCAUGUUAAUAAUUUUCUUAUUCACAAGUGACUCUGUUAAUUUAAAAAACACUUGGCCCAACUAUCAUACACUUGGUCCAGCAGAUAACUAACCAACAGCCAUACAAUCUAAAUAGUCAGCUAUCAUGAAAUAAGCUAUUGAUCUUCGAAUUCACAUGUGAUCACAUAAUACUACUUUAUUUAACUUGUAGGACAAAAAAAAGUCCAAACAAGAAAUAUACAAGCAAUAUAACAAAUACACAGAUAAGAGAUAACUACAGGGUGAAAAAGGUAUAGAGUUUCAAAAAUCACAACAAACGGUGAGACAAAAACCAUAGAAGUCAAAAAGCACCACCAAAAUAAUUAAUGCUUACUUGAAAGACAGUGAAUCAGUGAGACGGCGAGUCGGCGACGACGAGAGGCGCGAAGAGAGGACAGAGACCGCGCCGGAGACUUGAGAAUCGAGAGUCGACUGUCGAGACGACUGAGGGUCAGUGAGGGACUGAGGGUCGAGAGUCGACUGUCGAGACGAGAGGCAGAGAGUAAGAGACCGCGCCGGAGACUGAGACGAGGAGAGGUGGAGGCCGGACCGGAGACUUGAGAAUCGAGAUUCGAGAGUGACUGAGUGAGAAUUCGAGUCUUUGAGAUCUCAGAUCUGGACGACUAGCGAGUGGGUUAGGGCAAAAUGGAAUUGGGGGAAAACUCAAAAUGGGUGAAUACUGAUAUUAUGAAUAGAAGUUAAUAGAUAUUAUGAAUAUAUGAUUAAUAAUUAAUUUUUUUUUAAUAUUAAAAUUCGGUUAUUCGGGUUACCCGAAUAAUCUGUUUUUGAAAAUUGAAACCGAAAUCGAAUACUGAAUUAAAAUUCGGAUAUAACCGAAAUUCCAAAAAAAACGAUAAUCGAAAUAAAUCGUUUAAAAUAAUUCGAUUUGGUUCGGUAGUUCGAUUUUAUCCGUUUUUUGCUCACUCCUAGUCUAUACCUCUAUUUUUAAUUUAGUCAUGCAAGUAUUAUAAAUCUUGCGCCACCUCCCCUAAUAGUACAUGCAUGUGAAUCAAUAGUUCAGUCAUGUGAAUCAAUAGUUUUAUACAUGUGAAAAAAAUAGUUACAGUAUAGUACCUUCAUCCAUACCUCUAUUUUUAAUUUAAUCAUGCAGUAUUAUCAAUCUUGCACAACCUCCCCUAAUAGUUUAUGCAUGUGAAUAAAUAGUACAUACAUGUGAGCAAAUAGUUAUAAGCAUGUGAAUUAAUAGCAAUUAAUUGCUCAUUUAUUCGAUUAAUUACCCGAUUGGUCAAUAUAACCUCCAAAAAUCAAUUAUUAUCAGAAUAAAUGUCGAUUUCUACUAACACUAAUAAUCCCAACACAAUGAAAAUAUCAAUUUCAUCUUUAAUCAACACGAACUUAUUCAUCAUUAAUAUUAUAACUCACGAUAUUUAACAAUCAGAUUAUUCCCAGGAAAGAGGGGGCUUUCUGAUAAGGAUUUCUCCCUAUUGGCGCGCAAUUAGGUGACCAAAUCUCUUUCCUCGAUAGAACUUUCUAGACAUCGUCAAUAUUGCAAAUAAUAAUAUGAAUAACUUUGUCGUCUCAAUUAUUGAUUUAAUAAUAUAAAAUAUUAUGCAGAUGAUACUGUGACAAUAAUUGAAUCAAUAAUAUAAGAGAUAUUAUGCAACAAUUACUGUAUGAAUAAUUGAGUAUAACUGAGUGACUUCGCACGUAAGCAUCAAUAAUCAAUAUCGUGUGCUACUAUGCAACCACGCGUAUUACUGUUCUUUUACCACCGGAUAGUUCAACAGUUUAACGGUAAAAACUUUCGCCAUUAUUUUCAUAAAAAGAUAUUUAUGUCGUUUUCUAACUACGACAAUAGUUCCAUUGUGGGGUCCACCAAUGAUUGUGCCGUCGUACAAAUAUUCCCUGUUAAAAAAAGUAUUUCCCUACCAAGUGAAUAUUUCUCGACACAAAAAAUAUUUUAUAACAACUUACUUACUUUGCAAAAUUUUUAAAUAUCAUCCUUAGCUUUAACUUUUUAUCAAUUUAACCAUUUACUAAAUAGAAUAACAAUUAUCAAAAAACUGAAUACUUUCAUUUCGUAAAAUUCGGGGUCUUACAGCGGCAGUUACCGCCUCCUUUCGAUCUCCUCCUCUUCAUCCUUUUCCUUCGCUGCCGCUUCAGCACCUUGAAGAUGUAGAUCUUGUAAGUCUUCUUCACUUUCUUCUUCUUCUUCUUCUUCACUCUCUUUAUAUGGCGUAAUGUAGGGGUUUUGAUGGAUUAUUUGAGGUAGAUGGGUUACUGUUCGGUGACUUUCAAGCUCUGCAAAUGCUUUCUGAAGCUGUUGUAUCUUAAAAGUGGUCGACUCUAUGAGUAUGGCAACCGACUGUGUGUCUUCCAUUGCAUAUGAUCCCUAACGGAGUUACAAAAAAUAAAUGCGUCAACAAAGGGGUUAAGAUAGAUUAGUAAAGGAAACAACCUUUUCUUUACAUUCCAACGAGUAAUAGAAUUUUUUUUCAUGGUAGCUAUACAUGUAAAUACUAUUCUGAAUUUUUUUUAUAACUAUUUGGUUAUUCACAUAAACUAAAAUGGUUACCUUUGUAUAAAUGUUUGGCUACCAACUGGAUAUUUUUAUGGUUACCUUUGUAUAAAGGUUUGGAUACCAACUGUACAUUUUUAUUUAUUUAAGGUAACCGAGAUUGUAUUACACAAUAUUGAAUAAUAUUUUAUAUUUUUUUCCCUUACAUUAAAUAAGAGGAAAACCAUCGGACUACUCUUCGAUUUCAUCAUGGUUUAACAAGAUAAAUAAAACAAAUACAUGUAACACUUAGUAACUGUUCUGAAUUUUUUUAUGACUAUUUGGUUACCCACAAACUAAAAUGGUUACCUUUGUAUGAAAGUUUGGUUACCAACUACACCAUAUACAGAAUGCACGAUUACUCGGGUUUGGCAUGCAAUUCAAAUUGUCAGAGAGAAAUAAUCGGGACCAAUUACAUAAUUACAAAACUGAUUUGCCACAUCAGCAAUCCAUUAAAACACCCAACUAAAUUAAAAGAAAACUAAAUUCACUAAUUGUGUAAAUAAAAUAUUUAAAUGCAUUAAUUGUAUAAAUAUUUUAGGUAUGCACUAUUAUUGUAAUUAUUUUUAAAAAUAUAAUAUAAAAUAUAAUUGUUCCCUUUAUUUAUUGCCCAAACUCGGCUCCGCUCACUCAAAUAAAAUUCAAACAUGCUUUAAAUGGGCCGAACGAACAGGUUUCGGGCUUGACCAAGCCAAUUGACAAUUUUAAGGAGUAAUGUCAAAUACAAGAUUUGACUUUGACAUAAGUGUAGGUAAAAUUAUUUUUUUACGCACACUGUAUUAUUGAGUUUUAAAAUGGAUAGCAAAUUUAAUUUUUUUGUAAUUAUGUUUUUUGCGAGUUUUUAUUUAUUUAUUGAGUACUAGAAAAAAAAUGAACUAAAAACUUGGUUAUUUUUCUUGUCAAAGUAUUCUGUCUAAAAAUAAACAAAUUUGGACUGAAAAAUAAAUAACAUAAGCAAUUUUUUUAUAAUAUCUAUUGUACACUUUACAUUAUAAACACAACACAACUAAUACAAGUGAUUAUUUUAAAUGUAAAAUUUAAGUUUUCUUUCAUUUUUCCUUAUAAGAUUAGUACAUAACAACAUGAAUAUAAUUGACAAGUUUUCUAUUUUUUUUUGUUCAAAUUUAAGUUUUUUAUUUUAUUUUUUUACCAUUAAAACUCAAAACCUAGUGUAUUAGAACAACAAAGUAAUUAAAAAAAUUAGUAUAACAUAUUUAAAUUUGUAAGUCUUGUAAAAUUACUCAUAAUUUAAAAUAAGAUAACAAUGUUCACAACAACAUUUUUUUGAGAUUCUAUAUCUUGAAAUAAAUGCAUAAAAUAUCUUUUGUAGAAUUUGUGGAUUUUAAAAACUUUUAAAAUGACUUUUAAAGAUACUAUGAAAUAAGUGACAACUUGAGUGUAUUCAAUUAAGACAUUUAAAGAUUUUUAAAGACUUUAAAAGUUUGAUUGUAUUCAAUUAAGACAUUUAUAAAAUUUAUAAAAGUUUAGUGGUAUUUAAUUACAACUUUUUUAAUGUCUUUAUAAGUUAGGUGAUAUUGAAUUGAGACUUUUACAAAGUCUAUAAAAGUAUUUUGGUAUUUAAAAAGUUAUAAAUUUUUUAGAUUUUAUCAAAUAGUAGAGUUUGACUUUUAUAUACUUCUAAUAUAUCUUGCAAUUUAUAUUAAAUAAUUAUUCAUCCAAGCAACCUCAUCUGAUAACGUAAUAAGCUUUUGACUAUAAUUCUUCAUCGGAUUACUGUAUCAACACUUGCGGUUGCAAACCCAAAUAAGAAAGAGAAUUUUUAAAAAUACUAUAAAUAUGAUUACCACUAACAUUAGUAUUAACUUUGUCAACAAAUAAAUCAAGAAAUAAUCAAUGUCUCAUCUUCUCAUAAAAAUUUUAAAUUAUUUAAUUAGUAAAUUACGCGUUGGCCCUAAAAUAAUUUUUUUUCUAGAUAACUAAUUUUAUUUAAGUUUCUUAAUUUCACAAAUAUACACUAUUAAGUAAAAGGGGAAAAAAUCAAAAUUUUAGUGUAGGCAAUUUGCCAUGCGCCCUGAGUGGCAGAGAGAGAGAGACUGGACUGAAUCAGGUCUUCUAUGUGUGUGUAUGAGAGAAAGAGUUGUUGGGAUGGGCAAGGGUCUGUCCAUCAGUCGGUUCAAAUAACAUACCUAUUUUGAUUAAUCAUCGAUUUUCAUUUUCUCAUAUUUACAAUAUAAUUUUUGGAUAUUUAUAAUGAGAAACUGAUAUUUUCAUAUAAUUUUUUGAUAUUUUCACAUAAAGACCGUCGAUUCUAUAGCGACGAUUUUUACUGUCGCUAUACAUCUAUAACGACACUUUUUGUGUGAAAAUAUUAAAAGUUAUGUAGAAAUAUCAAUUUCCUUACAAUGGAAUCAAUUUAAAUUGUUUGAUUAUGAUUUAUUAAACUACAUCCCUAAAAUCGACAGAAAAAAUGAACGAAAACUUAAAAUAUCUAUUUAAUUUAUUUGUUAUUGAGUUUUUUAAUAAAUGGAAAAACAAAGAAAUAGACGGAUAACUUGACCACUUCUCUUUUCAAACUUUAUGGACGAAAAACAUAAUAUUAUCUUUUAUGAUCCUUAUUAUACCCACUAGAUUAUAAACAUAAUAAAAUUAAUAUAAGGGCAACUUAAUAAUUUAAAUGUGAAUUUUAAGUUUUCUUUUUUUCUAUUUUAUAAACUCAGUAAUAACAUGAGAAAAACAUACAAGUUUUCUAUUUUUUUAUCAUAAAUUAAAAAAAAAAAUCCAUCCCAAACUCAGAAACAGAGUGCAAAGCACAAUGCUAGUAAUCUAACACGAAUUGUGAUUUGCAACAAAAUUUGAAAUGUUUAAAUACUUGUAAUUAAUACGAUAAUAUAAUCUAAUUGCAUGUCUUUAAUUUGCAAGCGAUGAUAAUGAGAAAUAUUUUAUAGAAUUGAUAUUAAUGAAAAGAGAGUAAAAAAAAACUGUUAUAAUCCAUUAUUAAAGUCCUAAAGUUCAUAAAUCAUUGAUCAGAAAAUGAUUAGUUUCAAAUGUGAUGAUCAUUCAUACUGUAUUCACGCUCACUAUUUCCUUUCUUUUCUUCACGUAUAUGAAAAAGGUUAAUGUUAGGAGUUAAUUUUUUUUUUUUUGUCUCAAAUGAUAUAUGGUAUUAGUAUUACAUUUAUUGAUUGUAAUUCUUAUUGGGCAGAACAUAAAAUAGUUUUUAUUCUAUUCCAUGCAGGCACAUCAUUACAAAUUUGAUCAGAUAAUUUUUUUUGAGACCCCUAUUAUUAAUACGACAAAUUUCUACAUGCAUAUUUUCUUUUAAUAAUUUUGUAUAAUAAAUUAUAAUUUUUAAGCUUAAAAUUAUUGAAAAAUUAUAUCUAAUUGUUAUAUGUGAACCUUAUAAUUUAUUUUUGAAAAAAAGUUUAUUACGAUUUAAGUCAAAAAAAGAAAAGAAAAGGAAAAAAGUACACAUGGUGGGGGUGGGGGCGAAAUUGAAUAAAAAAUAUAUCAGUGAUGCUGCACAAUCGGCUGUAUGACUCUUGGGGAUGGUAAAGCAAGCACGUGAUCGGAAAACAAAGGCAAGCACCACCACUACUACUACCUCAGUCAAAUAUAUCGGGUCUGACUCGCCCGCCUUAAAAGACCUGGAAAUUAGGAUAAUAUUUCUUAUGUAUAUUAUUUUCUUACCCCACCCUAAUUAAUUAAUCUUAAUAUAUCUCCACCAUAGGCCGCCCCACCCUAUGUUGUAAGGCAGUGUCGACCAUUACGUGUAUGCCUGUCCUGUCCAAACCCUGGCUGCCUCAUUACUUGCUAUAAAUACUUGAGUCCAAUUUUAGUUUCUGCAAACAACUGGAAAACCCAAUAAAGAGCAAAAACAUUGAAAGAGGGAACGAGAAGGAGUAGGAGACUGCGAAGCCAACUCAAAGAGCUUCUGUUCCUUGUAUGUUCUUACAACCCAUAAAUACAAACAUUUACACUAUUGUAUAGAUAGAAAUAUAUACUGUAAUGUCCAUUUAGCUCUUUUUAUGGUGCAUUAAUUAGAAUGUCCAUCAUCAUUUGUUGUUUAAUUAGUUGUUGCUUCAUACAAAUAUAUUAGUACUUUUUAUGGUGUAAAUAUUUAUGACUGAAUCAUUUCCCAUUCUUAAUUAUUUUGCAGGGCAAAAGAUAAAAAUGGGUGCAGGUGGGCGUAUGUCUUCUCCUCCUGUAGGCAAGAAAACUUCAGCUGAAGCCCUUCGACGAGCUCCUCACGAGAAGCCUCCAUUUUCAUUAGCAGACUUAAAGAAAGCCAUUCCACCUCAUUGCUUUCAAAAAUCUCUUGUUACCUCUUUCCGAUACCUUAUUCAGGAUCUGAUCAUGGCCUACACCCUCUACUAUGUCGCCACUAAUUAUAUUGACCUUCUUCCCCGUCCUCUAAAUUACUUGGGUUGGGCUGCU